GGGGAUUUAGCUCAGUGGCAUAAGCACCUGCCUUGCAAGCAGGCAGUUGAUAGUUCGAUCCCCG
rnacentral:tRNA from 1 species